CCAGGUCAGGACACGGUAAGGAUUGACGGACUGAAGGCUCUUUCUCGAUUCCGUGGAAAGUGGUGCAUGGCCGUUUUUGGUUGGUGGAUCGAUCCGUCUGGUUAAUUCCGUUAACGAACGAGACCUCGGCACUCCGAAUAGCGCGGCGGACGUCGCGGCCUCCGGGCCGUCUUCCGCACGAGCUUCUUAGAGGGACCGUCCCCCGCCGGGGAAGGAGGUGCGAGGCAACGACAGGUCUGUGAUGCCCUUAGAUGUUCUGGGCCGCACGCGCAUUACACUGACGCGUCCAACGGGUGACUCCCGACCCGAAGGGGCCGGGGAAUCCGCAAGGCGCGUCGUGAUGGGGAUUGAACGUUGCAAUUGUUGUUCACGAACGAGGAAUUCCUAGUAGGCGCGGGUCAUCAACCCCGCGCCGAUUACGUCCCUGCCCUUUGUACACACCGCCCG
rnacentral:rRNA from 1 species